rnacentral:misc_RNA from 1 species
AAGUCGUAACAAGGUUUCCGUAGGUGAACCUGCGGAAGGAUCAUUACCAAAAGAAAACCGGGGCUUUCGGUGUUGGUCCGCUCCAACGGCACAGCAGUGCCUGUCGGGGACGGGUCAGGAUCGGCGUCUCGCUUUCUCACACCCUCUGCGUACCUUUUUCCUGUUGCUUCCGCUGGCGUUCACAUCUGCUGGGCGCUGGCGGAGGGAAUUCCAGAAAACCUUUUGUUUCAUCAUUGCCAUCUGUCUGACAAACCAAUCAAUACAAAUGAUUAAAACUUUCAACAACGGAUCUCUUGGUUCUC